rnacentral:lncRNA from 1 species
UGUGUGAGUUUUGUUCUGGUAAGUCUUUGUGUACUUAAACGUAUUCAACUUAUAUUUUGUCUUAUUUGGAUCAUUUAGUCAGAAGAACAGAAAAAAAUGAACGAAGAGGGUCUAUUGCACAAAAAAAGCUCAAUCUCAUUGACAAAUCUCUUCAUGAAUAAAAAUGCAACUGAUAUUUUUCUAUCCAAUUCAUAUUUUAACUAA